rnacentral:rRNA from 1 species
UACGUAGGGGGCUAGCGUUAUCCGGAAUUACUGGGCGUAAAGGGUGCGUAGGUGGUUUCUUAAGUCAGAGGUGAAAGGCUACGGCUCAACCGUAGUAAGCCUUUGAAACUGGGAAACUUGAGUGCAGGAGAGGAGAGUGGAAUUCCUAGUGUAGCGGUGAAAUGCGUAGAUAUUAGGAAGAACACCAGUGGCGAAGGCGAUUCUCUGGACUGUAACUGACGCUGAGGCUCGAAAGCGUGGGGAGCAAACAGGAUUAGAUACCCUGGUAGUCCCUGAG